rnacentral:rRNA from 2 species
CCCGUACUUGGUGUUACUGCGAAGGGGGGACGGAGAAGGCUAUGUUGGCCGGGCGACGGUUGUCCCGGUUUAAGCGUGUAGGUGUGUGUUCCAGGUAAAUCCGGUUCACUUUAACACUGAGGCGUGAUGACGAGGCACUACGGUGCUGAAGCAACAAAUGCCCUGCUUCCAGGAAAAGCCUCUAAGCAUCAGGUAACAUCAAAUCGUACCCCAAACCGACACAGGUGGUCAGGUAGAGAAUACCAAGGCGCUUGAGAGAACUCGGGUGAAGGAACUAGGCAAAAUGGUGCCGUAACUUCGGGAGAAGGCACGCUGACACGUAGGUGAAGUGAUUUACUCAUGGAGCUGAAGUCAGUCGAAGAUACCAGCUGGCUGCAACUGUUUAUUAAAAACACAGCACUGUGCAAACACGAAAGUGGACGUAUACGGUGUGACGCCUGCCCGGUGCCGGAAGGUUAAUUGAUGGGG